rnacentral:rRNA from 1 species
GUGGGGAAUCUUCCGCAAUGGACGAAAGUCUGACGGAGCAACGCCGCGUGAGUGAUGAAGGUCUUCGGAUUGUAAAGCUCUGUUAAUCGGGACGAAAGAGCCUAGUGUGAAUAAUGCUAGGAAGUGACGGUACCGGAAUAGAAAGCCACGGCUAACUACGUGCCAGCAGCCGCGGUAAUACGUAGGUGGCAAGCGUUGUCCGGAAUUAUUGGGCGUAAAGCGCGCGCAGGCGGAUCUGCCAGUCUGUCUUAAAAGUUCGGGGCUUAACCCCGUGAUGGGAUGGAAAAUACAGAUCUAGAGUAUCGGAGAGGAAAGUGGAAUUCCUAGUGUAGCGGUGAAAUGCGUAGAUAUUAGGAAGAACACCAGUGGCGAAGGCGACUUUCUGGACGAAAACUGACGCUGAGGCGCGAAAGCCAGGGGAGCGAACGGGAUUAGAAACCCUGGUAGUCC